GUGGAGGUCUGUGAGGUUUCCUCUGUGUGGAGGUCUGGAGGUUUCCUCUGUGUGGAGGUCUGGAGGUUUCCUCCGUGUGGAGGUCUGGAGGUUUCCUCCGUGUGGAGGUGUGGAGGUUUCCUCCGUGUAGAGGUUUCCUCGGUGUGGAGGUUUCCUCCGUGUAGAGGUUUCCUCCGUGUGGAGGUGUGGAGGUUUCCUCCGUGUAGAGGUGUAGAGGUUUCCUCCGUGUAGAGGUUUCCUCCGUGUAGAGGUUUCCUCCGUGUUGCUGUCACCUAUCAUGCCCUGCCAGAUCAGUGGCCAUAGAGGAAAGGACACAAGGGAAGGAAGGUAGUUAACACUAUUAAGACACAGCCAGGGAGGGACAUGCCAAACAAAAGCGAGUCACAAUGUCUGAUUUCCGAGAUUAAGUGUUUUGAGUGCAGUUUCUUUUUGCAUUUUGUCAUAAGUGAAUCAAUGCUGUCAAAGGUCUUGGCUGUUGCUUAUAAAAACAAAUAUACAUUAGCAUUGCUUGUAUUGUCACAGUUCUUGAUGGUUACAGUCUUGAAGUUGUACAACUCUUGUCUAAUGAUUUAUGUUUCUUGUGUUGAUGUUUGGAAUAGAUUUUUCGAAGACCGAUU